rnacentral:rRNA from 1 species
GACGAACGCGGCGGCGUGCUUAACACAUGCAAGUCGAACGGGUCUGCCUUGUUUUUUGCGGGGUGGGUUAGUGGCGAACGGGUGAGUAACACGUGAGUAACCUGCCCCUCACUUCUGGAUAACCGCUUGAAAGGGUGGCUAAUACGGGGUGUUCUGGCUGUGCCGCAUGGUGUGGCUGGGAAAGAUUCACUUUUGUGGUGUUUUGGUGGGGGAUGGGCUCGCGGCCUAUCAGCUUGUUGGUGGGGUGAUGGCCUGCCAAGGCUUUGACGGGUAGCCGGCCUGAGAGGGUGGGCGGUCACACUGGGACUGAGAUACGGCCCAGACUCCUGCGGGAGGCAGCAGUGGGGGGUAUUGCACAAUGGGCGGAAACCUGAUGCAGCGACGUCGCGUGAGGGAUGGAGGCCUUCGGGUUGUGAACCUCUUUCGCCGGUGAAGAAGGUCCUGUUCUUUGUGGUGGGGCUGACGUAGC